rnacentral:rRNA from 1 species
ACCAGACUCCUACGGGAGGCAGCAGUGGGGGAUAUUGCACAAUGGGGGGAACCCUGAUGCAGCGACGCCGCGUGGGUGAAGAAGCGCCUCGGCGCGUAAAGCCCUGUCAGCAGGGAAGAAAAUGACGGUACCUGAAGAAGAAGCCCCGGCUAACUACGUGCCAGCAGCCGCGGUAAUACGUAGGGGGCAAGCGUUAUCCGGAUUUACUGGGUGUAAAGGGGGCGCAGACGGCGAUGCAAGCCAGGAGUGAAAGCCCGGGGCCCAACCCCGGGACUGCUCUUGGAACUGCGUGGCUGGAGUGCAGGAGGGGCAGGCGGAAUUCCUGGUGUAGCGGUGAAAUGCGUAGAUAUCAGGAGGAACACCGGUGGCGAAGGCGGCCUGCUGGACUGCAACUGACGUUGAGGCCCGAAAGCGUGGGGAGCAAACAGGAUUAGAUACCCUGGUAAA